AUGGAUUUUAUCAUGGGAUUGCCCAGGACUCGUUCAGGCUAUGACUCUAUAUGGGUUGUAGUCGAUCGAUUGACGAAAGUAGCUCAUUUCAUCUUAGUGAAGACCACUUAUACAAGUGCUAAGUUGGCAAAGAUAUACAUGACCAGGAUCGUAUGUCCGCAUGGAGUUCCAAGGACCAUUGUAUCAGAUAGAGGAACCCAGUUUACCUCAAAGUUCCGGAAUCAGUUGCACAAGACUUUGGGUACCAGGCUAGAGUUCAAUACAGCUUUUCAUCCACAGACAGAUGGACAGACCGAGAGAGUCAAUCAGAUUCUGGAGGACAUGUUGAGAGCUAGUGCGCUAGAUUAUGGAUCUAGUUGGGACGACAAUCUGCCAUAUGCAGAGUUCUCUUAUAACGACAACUAUCAAGCCAGUUUGAAGAUCGCCCCUUUCGAAGCGUUGUACGGAAGGAGGUGUAGGACACCGUUAUUGUGGGAUGAAGUUGGAGACCGUCGGUUGUUUGGACUAGAUUUGACUAAGGAGUUUGAAGAGAAGGUUAAACUGAUCCGCGACAGACUCAAGGUAGCCCAGUCCAGACAGAAGAGUUAUGCGGAUUCAAAACGCAAGGAGAUGGUUUACGAAGUUGGAGACCGAGUAUAA
rnacentral:rRNA from 1 species